UACGUAGGGUGCGAGCGUUAAUCGGAAUUACUGGGCGUAAAGCGUGCGCAGGCGGUUCGUUGUGUCUGAUGUGAAAGCCCCCGGGCUCAACCUGGGAAUGGCAUUGGAAACUGGCGAGCUGGAGUGUGGCAGAGGGGGGUGGAAUUCCGCGUGUAGCAGUGAAAUGCGUAGAGAUGCGGAGGAACACCGAUGGCGAAGGCAAUCCCCUGGGCCUGCACUGACGCUCAUGCACGAAAGCGU
rnacentral:rRNA from 1 species